rnacentral:rRNA from 1 species
UUGGAGAGUUUGAUCCUGGCUCAGGAUGAACGCUAGCGGCAGGCCUAACACAUGCAAGUCGAGGGGUAGAAUUAGCUUGCUAAUUUGAGACCGGCGCACGGGUGCGUAACGCGUAUGCAAUCUACCUUGUACAGGGGGAUAGCCCAGAGAAAUUUGGAUUAAUACCCCAUGGUAUAAUUAAUUUGCAUGAAUUGAUUAUUAAAGUUCCAACGGUACAAGAUGAGCAUGCGUCCCAUUAGCUAGUUGGUGUGGUAACGGCAUACCAAGGCGACGAUGGGUAGGGGUCCUGAGAGGGAGAUCCCCCACACUGGUACUGAGACACGGACCAGACUCCUACGGGAGGCAGCAGUGAGGAAUAUUGGUCAAUGGUCGGAAGACUGAACCAGCCAUGCCGCGUGCAGGAAGAAGCAUCUAUGGUGUGUAAACUGCUUUUGUACGGGAAGAAACACUCCUUCGUGAAGGAGCUUGACGGUACCGUAAGAAUAAGAUCGCUAACUCC